rnacentral:rRNA from 1 species
GACGAACGCUGGCGGCGUGCCUAACACAUGCAAGUCGAGCGAAGUUUAUUUAGCAGCGACUUCGGUCAAAGCUGAUUAAACUUAGCGGCGAACGGGUGAGUAACACGUAGGCAACCUGCCCAUGACACGGGGAUAGCUUCGGGUAACCGGAGGUAAUACCCGAUACCUUUACUUAUUGCAUGAUAAGUAAAGAAAGCGAAUAGCGGUCAUGGAUGGGCCUGCGUCCCAUUAGCUAGUUGGUGAGAUAACAGCCCACCAAGGCGACGAUGGGUAGCCGACCUGAGAGGGUGACCGGCCACACUGGAACUGAGACACGGUCCAGACUCCUACGGGAGGCAGCAGUGGGGAAUCUUGCGCAAUGGGCGAAAGCCUGACGCAGCGACGCCGCGUGAGCGAAGAAGGCCUUCGGGUCGUAAAGCUCAGUCAUUGGGGAUGAGAUGACAGUACCCAAGGAGGAAGCCCCGGCUAACUACGUGCCAGCAGCCCGCGGUAAUACGUAGGGGGCGAGCCGUUGUCCGGAAUUACUGGGUGUAAAGGGCGUGUANGCGGGGGUGCAAGUUACCGGUAAAAACCCAGGGCUCACUCUGGGCUUGCCGGUAAAACUGCAUCUCUUGAGUGU